rnacentral:rRNA from 1 species
ACAAGUCUCCUGAUCUUGGUCAUUUAGAGGAAGUAAAAGUCGUAACAAGGUUUCCGUAGGUGAACCUGCGGAAGGAUCAUUAUUGUACAAUGGAAGUGCUGGGGUUGUCGCUGACCUUUGAAAGGGUCGUGCACACCUUGGUGCUUUCACACACAAUCCAUCUCACCCCUUUUGUGCAUUACCGCGUGGGGCCCCCUUUUAGUUAGUUCUGAAUGGGGCUUUCACGUUUUUACAAACACACCCUUUUAAUGCAAUGUGUAGAAUGUCUUACUUUUUUGCGAUCAUACGCAAUUAAUACAACUUUCAACAACGGAUCUCUUGGCUCUCGCAUCGAUGAAGAACGCAGCGAAAUGCGAUACGUAAUGUGAAUUGCAGAAUUCAGUGAAUCAUCGAAUCUUUGAACGCACCUUGCGCCCUUUGGCAUUCCGAAGGGCACACCCGUUUGAGUGUCGUGACAUUCUCAAACCUUCUUGGUUUCUUGACUAAGAAGGCUUUGGACUUUGGAGGCUUUUGCUGGACCUUCCCUUGUUGAAGCCAGCUCCUCUUAAAUGAAUUAGUGGGGUCUGCUUUGCUGAUCCUUGACGUGAUAAGAUGCUUCUACGUCUUGGGUUUUGCACUGUUUAUUCUAGAUCCUGCUUCUAAUCGUCUUGUAGAAGACAAAUGGUCGACUUGACCCACAAACCUUGACCUCAAAUCGGGUGAGACUACCCGCUGAACUUAAGCAUAUCAAUAAGCGGAGGAAAAGAAACUAACAAGGAUUCCCCUAGUAACUGCGAGUGAAGCGGGAAAA